rnacentral:rRNA from 1 species
UCCAGACUCCUACGGGAGGCAGCAGUGGGGAAUAUUGCACAAUGGGGGAAACCCUGAUGCAGCGACGCCGCGUGAGUGAAGAAGUAUUUCGGUAUGUAAAGCUCUAUCAGCAGGGAAGAUAAUGACGGUACCUGAGUAAGAAGCCCCGGCUAACUACGUGCCAGCAGCCGCGGUAAUACGUAGGGGGCAAGCGUUAUCCGGAUUUACUGGGUGUAAAGGGAGCGUAGACGGCAUGGCAAGUCUGAAGUGAAAGCCCGGGGCUCAACCGCGGGACUGCUUUGGAAACUGUUAAGCUGGAGUGCAGGAGAGGUAAGUGGAAUUCCUAGUGUAGCGGUGAAAUGCGUAGAUAUUAGGAGGAACACCAGUGGCGAAGGCGGCUUACUGGGCUGUAACUGACGUUGAGGCUCGAAAGCGUGGGGAGCAAACAGGAUUAGAUACCCUUGUA